UUUGUCUUCUUCCCAAAAGAG
rnacentral:piRNA from 1 species